GAUCAAGCGAGCCCGAGUCUUGUUCGUCCGCUUCCCACGGAAACAAUCUACUUCCUGGAAAGCAAAUGCUCUAUCUAUACAUAAAUACAGAAGCUUCCGCGCUGAAGGUAAACACUCUGUUCACGGAGGCGGCCAGCUCAGACAAGUGCAAAGGUCUCACUGCCUCGGCACGUCGUUCGUGCAGUGCAAGGUGUCCCUCCCAGGCUCCCAGCUCUGCCAUGGCGACCGGGCUAGGAGUCGCCGCGAAGGCCGUGCUGCUGGUGCUAGCGCCGGUGGUGAUCUCCGUGGCGCUCUACAGCCCCAAGGACUUCUCUCCGGCGGAGCUGCCACCCGAGCACAGCUUCGGCGCUGACGUGUCCGCGCCGCGGCACGACGCCCGCGUGCUGGCCGCGAGCGAGCGGAUCGGGGAGGGGCUGCUCCCGGGCCCCGAGGACCUGGCGUACGACGCCGCCGGCGGGUGGCUGUACACGGGGUGCGCCGACGGGUGGGUCCGCCGGGUGAGCGUGCCUGGCGGGGACGUGGAGGGCUGGGCCUACACCGGCGGCCGGCCGCUCGGCGUCGUGCUCGCGGGCGACGGCGGCAUCGUCGUGGCGGACGCGGAUAAGGGUUUGCUGAAGGUUAGGCAGGACAAGACGGUGGAGCUGCUGACGGACGCGGCGGAGGGCCUCAAGUUCGCCCUGACGGACGGCGUGGACAUCGCCGCCGACGGCACCAUCUACUUCACCGACGCCUCGUACAAGUACAGCCUCGCUCACCACUUUCUGGACGUGCUCGAGGCACGGCCCCACGGCCGGCUCAUGAGCUUCGACCCCUCCACGCACCGGACCUCCGUGCUCGCGCGCGACCUCUACUUCGCCAACGGCGUCGCCGUCGCGCCGGACCAGGACUCGCUCAUCUUCUGUGAGACGGUCAUGAGGAGGUGCUCGAGGUAUCACAUCAGGGGCGACAAGGCAGGCACGGUGGAGAGCUUCAUCGACAGCCUGCCGGGGCUCCCGGACAACAUCCGAUACGACGGCGAGGGCCGGUACUGGAUCGCGCUCUCGGCGGGGAGGACGCUGCAGUUGGACGUGUUGAUGUGGUCGCCCUUGCUGCGGAAGCUCGUGUACAUGGUGGAGAAGUACGUGAUGGCGGUGCCGCAGGGCCUGAGGGACGCGGGGACGAUGAGCGUGGCUCUCAACGGGGAGCCGGUGACCAUGUACACUGACCCGGGACUCGCGCUCGCCACCGGCUGGCUCAAGGUCGGGGGCUACCUCUACUACGGGUCGCUGGCAAGCUCGUACAUCAGCAGGGUCGACCUCACCAAAUCAUCCAUCGAAGCCUAGCUAGCUAGGACGGUCAACUCAUCAUCUCUCGAUUGAUUAAUUGUUCGUUCUGAUGAUGAACUCGUGGUACUUUUUUUUAAGGACACUUGAUGUCAAAAACGCUCUUAUAUUAUGAGAAAGAGAGAGUAGAUGAUACCCCACACCUAUUGCAGAAAUAUUUUGCAAUGUAUUUAAAUAAUAUAUGAUUGUAUGGAACAUGAAUAUUUAGCAUAUGAUAACUGAAAGUACAUAUGAUUUAUUGUGUU
rnacentral:rRNA from 1 species